UACGGGGGGGGCAAGCGUUGUUCGGAAUUACUGGGCGUAAAGGGUGCGUAGGCGGCUUUCUAAGUUGGAUGUGAAAACUCUGGGCUCAACCCAGAGACUGCAUCCAAAACUGCAGAGCUUGAGUACCGGAGAGGGUGGCGGAAUUCCCCAAGUAGAGGUGAAAUUCGUAGAUAUGGGGAGGAACACCGGUGGCGAAGGCGGCCACCUGGACGGUCACUGACGCUGAGACGCGAAAGCGUGGGUAGCAAACAGG
rnacentral:rRNA from 1 species